GGUCUCUUUACCCUCGAGGGAAAGAGCGGUUUACAUUCAUAGCUUGCUCCACACAUCUUUCCCCAUCAUUUUUAUUCCUUGUUUCAUUGUUGAAGGUAUCUGUUGAGUAUUCGAUUCUCAUCACUCAAACACACGCAGCUCCGCAUGUAUAAUAAGUGCACGCAGACUGCUAACAUGUUUGAUUUACAAAUAACUUCAGCGGGCCUCCAGCCUGCUGAUGUCAAUCAGGGCUAGGGGACAGACAUUCAUCAGCACAACCUGAACCUUGUCAUGAACAGUGGACGUGUACUUCCUGUGAAGCUGAUCUGAAAUCAGAGGAUCCAGAGAAAAAGUAGCAAAGGGAACUGGAAAGGCCACUUCAAGAUUUCUGCAUCAGAACAGCUUCCAGGAUGCUGACUGAGAUGACCUAGACUCACAUGACUAUAGGAGCGAAGACUUAAUUAUUAUCCUGAUUUUCUCAAGGUUCCUCCAAAGAUAUCAGUGCCCCCAACAACAAAAGUAGUCUAGGGAAAACAAUACUCACUUUCCCAAAAGAUGGAUUAUGGAGGUUUGUCAUCAUUCAAGUGUGUUGAUUUCAAGCUAUUAUUGGUCAUGGUCAAAAAAGAAGGUACACAAAAGAGUUAGAUUCUAAGAUCUCUUUCUGAAGAAAAAGAUGGGAGGAUAGGAAUGACAGGAAAAAGGGUAGAUUAUUAAAUCUAAUUUAAUCCAAAAACAACUAUUAAUCUCAAAAUAUUUUACUUUGUAUGGAUUUUGAUUCAUUGAUACAAAUUUAAAGUUAUUUUUGUUAUACUGUGCCCGUGUAUCUACUCUUGUUUUUGGUAUUGUGCUUAUGCAGUUCAUUUAAAAUAUAAAGUACAAUUAAGGAAUACAGUUUAGUAGUUAUUCAUCUUUAAUAAUCAAACUUGUAGUCAUAUUAGGUAUGUUUUCAAGAUUAAACAAAGAUAUUUAGAUAAAUAGAUAGUCUUCAAACACAUCAAAGAUGUACAGACUAUGGUAUUUAAAAUAAUUUUAUAAUGUAAGGAUUUGCAAGACAGUGAGAUAUGUUUGCUUCUGGUAGUAACAAUUUACUUCAGAAGAGAUGGUGGACAUUAAAAAUCAACUCCAUAUUAUAUUUGCCUUCUUUGUGGCAAAAGAUAGCCACUGCAAAAAAAAAAAAAUAACUGCCCCAGCCUCAUCUGCUUUAUACUGUCCAAACUUGACAAGCAAGACACAAAAGAAAAUGACUGCAAGAUAUUUUCAAGAUAAGGUAGGGCAACUUUUCAAAAUUUCCUGCUUUACAGAACUUUUUGUCAGAUAUAGUAGGCCUGUAGGCCCAACAUGAAUGUCCCAAACAUUGCAGAUCAACUUUGGGUGACUGUUCAGGCAGUCAGAUGUCCCUGUCAUUAGGAAAUAUCAUAUGCUUCUGAGGACUUUGAUGGAAUUGAAGACAAAAUUGUGUGACUUUUAAUUUUCCUUAGAUACUAUAAAAAAUAAAUUAGGUAUAAAUCUUUAGAGUGUUUUCUCUAAAUUUGCCAAAUACAAAUGGACUAACUAUUGUGUCUGUAAUUCAUAUACAAUAACUGCUUUGUGCAUGUAAAUUAACUACAUUAAAGUUAAAACCUUCUCUUUAAAAAGACAAAAAGAGGGAAGUGAUUUGGAAUAAUCCUUUUGUACACUAUGAAAAUGUGUUUAUCUUAUUGUUAAAUAAGAGCUGACUAGCCAAUGGUUAAGCAGGUAGCUAUUAGGUGGGAGUUAUUUACAAAAAGAGAGUGCAGGAAAGAAGGAUGGUGGAGUUGCCAGUAAGAUGCAUGGGAAGCAGAACAUGAACAUGCCAUGCCGAAAAUUGAUAACUCCACAUGGUAGACUUUAGGGCUUGCUAGACAAUGGUGGCACAUGCCUUUAAUCUUAGCACUUGGGAGGUAGAGGCAGGUGGUUCUC